CCUACGGGAGGUAGCAGUGAGGAAUAUUGGUCAAUGGACGAGAGUCUGAACCAACCAAGUAGCGUGAAGGAUGACUGCCCUAUGGGUUGUAAACUUCUUUUAUAUGGGAAUAAAAUGUUCCACGUGUGGGAUUUUGUAUGUACCAUAUGAAUAAGGAUCGGCUAACUCCGUGCCAGCAGCCGCGGUAAUACGGAGGAUCCGAGCGUUAUCCGGAUUUAUUGGGUUUAAAGGGAGCGUAGGUGGAUUGUUAAGUCAGUUGUGAAAGUUUGCGGCUCAACCGUAAAAUUGCAGUUGAAACUGGCAGUCUUGAGUACAGUAGAGGUGGGCGGAAUUCGUGGUGUAGCGGUGAAAUGCUUAGAUAUCACGAAGAACUCCGAUUGCGAAGGCAGUUCACUGGACUGCAACUGACACUGAGGCUCGAAAGUGUGGGUAUCAAACAGGAUUAGAUACCCCUGUAGUC
rnacentral:rRNA from 1 species